UACAGAGACUGCAAGCGUUAUUCGGAUUCACUGGGCGUAAAGGGUGCGCAGGCGGCCAAGUGUGUGAGGUGUGAAAGCCCGGGGCUUAACCCCGGAAUUGCACCUCAAAACUACUUGGCUAGAGCAUUGGAGAGGGUAGCAGAAUUCACGGUGUAGCAGUGAAAUGCGUAGAUAUCGUGAGGAAUACCAGAGGCGAAGGCGGCUACCUGGACAAUUGCUGACGCUCAGGCACGAAAGCGUGGGGAUCAAACAGG
rnacentral:rRNA from 1 species